UGCUAGUCGAGUGGCUCAGCCAAUACGAGCCACGGCAUACAGCUCAGUAACACGUGGCUAAUCUGCCCUUAGGACGAGAACAACCCCGGGAAACUGGGGCUAACUCUCGAUAGGCGAAGAACUCUGGAAUGAGUCUUCACCUAAAUAGUUCAGCGUUACGCUCGUUGGACCGCCUAAGGAUGAGGCCGCGACCGAUCAGGUUGUUGGUGAGGUAAUAGGCUCACCAAGCCUUUUACCGGUGCGGGCCGUGAGAGCGGGAGCCCGGAGAUGGGCACUGAGACAAGGGCCCAGGCCCUACGGGGCGCAGCAGUCGCGAAAACUUUGCAAUACACGAAAGUGUGACAGGGCUAUCCCGAGUGCCAUCCGCUGAGGAAGGCUUUUACCCAGUCUAGAAAGCUGGGGGAAUAAGGAGAGGGCAAGUCUGGUGUCAGCCGCCGCGGUAAUACCAGCUCUCCGAGUGGUGUGGAUGUUUAUUGGGCCUAAAGCAUCCGUAGCUGGCUAAGUUAGUCCCUUGUUAAAUCCACCGAAUUAAUCGUUGGAUUGCGGGGGAUACUGCUUGGCUAGGGGACGAGAGAGGCAGACGGUAUUUCCGGGGUAGGGGUGAAAUCCUAUAAUCCCGGGGAAGACCGCCAGUGGCGAAGGCUGUCUGCUAGAACGCGCCCGACGGUGAGGGAUGAAAGCUGGGGGAGCGAACCGGAUUAGAUACCCGGGUAGUCCCAGCUGUAAACGAUGCAGCUAGGUGUUUGGACGGCCACGUGCCGUUCUAGUGCCGCAGGAAGCUGUUAAGCCUGCCGCCUGGGGAGUACGAUCGCAAGAUUGAAACUUAA
rnacentral:rRNA from 1 species